GAUGAACGCUAGCGGCAGGCUUAACACAUGCAAGUCGAGGGGUAUAGUUCUUCGGAACUAGAGACCGGCGCACGGGUGCGUAACGCGUAUGCAAUCUACCUUUCACAAAGGGAUAGCCCAGAGAAAUUUGGAUUAAUACCUUAUAGUAAUACGACUUGGCAUCAAGAUGUAUUUAAAGAUUUAUCGGUGAAAGAUGAGCAUGCGUCCCAUUAGCUUGUUGGUAAGGUAACGGCUUACCAAGGCAACGAUGGGUAGGGUCCUGAGAGGGAGAUCCCCCACACUGGUACUGAGACACGGACCAGACUCCUACGGGAGGCAGCAGUGAGGAAUAUUGGACAAUGGGCGCAAGCCUGAUCCAGCCAUGCCGCGUGCAGGAUGACGGUCCUAUGGAUUGUAAACUGCUUUUUGUACAGGAAGAAACCCUUUCACGUGUGGAAGAUUGACGGUACUGUAAGAUAAGGAUCGG
rnacentral:rRNA from 1 species